rnacentral:rRNA from 1 species
UGGGGAAUAUUGCGCAAUGGGCGAAAGCCUGACGCAGCGACGCCGCGUGAGGGAUGAAGGUUUUCGGAUCGUAAACCUCUGUCAGAAGGGAAGAAACCGCACUGUGCUAAUCAGCAGUGCCUUGACGGUACCUUCAAGGAAGCACCGGCUAACUCCGUGCCAGCAGCCGCGGUAAUACGGAGGGUGCAAGCGUUAAUCGGAAUUACUGGGCGUAAAGCGCACGUAGGCUGCUUUGUAAGUCAGGGGUGAAAUCCCACGGCUCAACCGUGGAACUGCCUUGGAUACUGCUUAGCUUGAAUCCGGGAGAGGGUGGCGGAAUUCCAGGUGUAGGAGUGAAAUCCGUAGAUAUCUGGAGGAACAUCAGUGGCGAAGGCGGCCACCUGGACCGGUAUUGACGCUGAGGUGCGAAAGCGUGGGGAGCAAACAGG